rnacentral:lncRNA from 7 species
GGAGGAAACCCAAGGCACAGAGGAGGAGGUGAGAUACUGAGAACUGCUCCAGCAAACCAGGAAAAGAGGUCCACCAGGCAUUCCACGUGCCAGCCUGGGCUCCCUCCCUACUGUAUGGCAGCAUCACUCACAGAAAUGAUAAGGCUAAAGGAGCAAGAGGAAAGGUUGGUGUAUUCUCAAAUGGCUCCUUCUGAGGUAUCGCACAGGCUACCUGAGAGCAUCUCAAAAUGGAGCACCUCUGGCAGCUGCUGCAGGUCACACUGGCUUUGGUUUCUUGGUUGCAUGGAUAUGAGAAGGGAAGGGCUGUUCAGAGGCACUCUGAAGACCCCAGCCAGGCUAAAUUAUUUGUUGGUAUUUCUGUAAGAAUUUGAUCUGAUGCACAAUCACUUGGAGAUGAGGGCUUCAUAAUCAUCCCUGCAUGGUCUCUUUGCCCAGUCCAUGUUAUGGAGUUCACUCAGCUUUACUAGAAGUGGGCAAGUGUCACUUUGUGAAUAGUUCUAGCCCAUGCCAAAAAGCUGUCAUUCACCAGCCAAACUAUGACUUACUGAGCAGAAUCAUUAUGUCUAUAAAGAAUGAAAACCGGUGCAAUCUGUGUGCAAGUAAACAAAAUGUAGCCAGGAAGACAGGCUGAGAAUCGUUUUCUCGUAUGUGUCAGGAAGUUUUGGAAGAUGCCAUGUCGCUGAGAGAUUAAUUAUCAGAUGAGAUUUGUGGGAGGGGAGAAAUUCUGAGACCAGUAUAUACACGUACUGCUAAAAAUUUACCUGAAGUAAUUUUUAUAAGUUCUAAGACAAAGAUUAGACAAUCUCUUUUGCCAAUGAAAUUAGUGGAUUGGUAAAUUGUUAGGUUAGUUUAUGUCUACAAAAAUAGUUCACUAAUUUACAAAGAAUACAUCAUACUAAAAACUGUCCUGCAUUUCAAACUAUGGUUUAAUAGCAACUGAACGCAUGCUGGCACGUAAUUUAGAUUCUACUGUGAAGUCUCUGAAUUGUGAGCUGGAAACUCCAAUAACAUAUUUCAUAAAUACAGCUAUUGUUUUUGCUGGCAUCACGUUGCACAUAGCAGCUAGAAGAGCACUCAGUGACAUUUAGCAAUCUUGAAGGCUGAGGAACAGUCUGAAAGUCUUCUUUGCGUUAUCUGGGGCAUUGAGAAGUUUUUCCAAAUUGAAAUAAAAUACACAGAUCAAAUUGCUAAAAUGGGAAGCAUACAUUAAUGGUUUUGAAGUUUUCCCUAAUUUAAAAUCCUUACUUAUAAGGGAAUAUUUUAUUAAAACAAAUUGUUCUUAAGACUGAAUAUUUAUCUAACUUUUAGGUCACAGCUUUCUUCUGCAUAGAACACUUGCAGAUGUUGGAUAUUUGGUGUCAAGGAUGAUUUGACGAGGAAGCAAGAUGUAUCACUGCAGUGAACAAUCACUGAACCCAAGCAAAUUCAUUUCUCUCCUGCAGUGAUGUUAUCAGGCACCUCCUCACCAAAUCAUGGCUUCUAGAAAAUAAAAGCAUCUAUGUGUUUCUUUUAGAUCUGAGACCACCAGCACAUCUGGUGAGCCUUGUAUGUAUCAAAUUCCAAUCUCAACGUAAGCAUAGAUUUUGUAGGUGUAAUUCUCUGUUAAGACUAAUGUAAUUUCAUUCUGUGUGUAAGGUAUACAAGGAGACUUGAAUACAUAAGUCCUCUUCUUUUGUUAGAAAUAGACCUUAUGGCAUAUCUUUCUUAUGUUUUAAAUCACAUAAAAUAAAAGGAGGAUAUACAUUUUCCUUCAG